UACGAAGGGGGCUAGCGUUGUUCGGAAUUACUGGGCGUAAAGGGCGCGUAGGCGGUACUUCAAGUCAGGCGUGAAAGCCCCGGGCUCAACCUGGGAACCGCGCUUGAGACUGGAGAACUAGCGUUCGGGAGAGGAUGGUGGAAUUCCCAGUGUAGAGGUGAAAUUCGUAGGUAUUGGGAAGAACACCGAUGGCGAAGGCAGCCAUCUGGACCGACACUGACGCUGAGGCGCGAAAGCGUGGGGAGCAAACAGG
rnacentral:rRNA from 1 species